rnacentral:rRNA from 1 species
GAUGAACGCUGGCGGCGUGCCUAAUACAUGCAAGUCGAGCGAAUGGAUUAAGAGCUUGCUCUUAUGAAGUUAGCGGCGGACGGGUGAGUAACACGUGGGUAACCUGCCCAUAAGACUGGGAUAACUCCGGGAAACCGGGGCUAAUACCGGAUAACAUUUUGAACCGCAUGGUUCGAAAUUGAAAGGCGGCUUCGGCUGUCACUUAUGGAUGGACCCGCGUCGCAUUAGCUAGUUGGUGAGGUAACGGCUCACCAAGGCAACGAUGCGUAGCCGACCGGAGAGGGAGAUCGGCAGCACUGGGACUGAGACACGGCCCAGACUCCGACGGGAGGCAGCAGUAGGGAAUCUUCCGAAAUGGACGAAAGUCUGACGGAGCAACGCCGCGUGAGUGAUGAAGGCUUUCGGGUCGUAAAACUCUGUUGUUAGGGAAGAACAAGUGCUAGUUGAAUAAGCUGGCACCUUGACGGUACCUAACCAGAAAGCCACGGCUAACUGCGUGCCAGCAGCCGCAGUAA